rnacentral:lncRNA from 1 species
CCAACCCUCCCCUUAACCUGGGACAGUGGUGUAACAGUACAACAUAAGAACGAACUAUACAAAUCAGUUGAAAAAGGCUUAAUUUAACUCAUUAGAUGGAUACAAAUAGAAAUAAAUCUUACAAAAACAGAGAGUGGACGUGACCGAGUACUUGUACAUCCCAUCAACAAAAAGACACCAAGUACAGAUCUGAGAGUACUCGCAGUUACUGACAGCUAGUUCAAAGCCAAUUACAACUAAUAAAAAGUAAUGCAUCUGAGACUAAAUUAUCAAUCAUUACACAUCCAGCAUCCAAUGGCACGGUAAACAACAUCUCCGUAAAAAUGAGGAUGUGAUAUCCCGUUUGAAAUAAGUUUUCUACAGGUAGACCCAAACUUCAAAACCAAAUCUAGAAUUUAGUAAAGAUUUUAAGUGAUUUGUGGUAACGAAAUCCCUGACUUAAUAAUUUACCAGUAAUACAUAGAUUUCGUUCAUUAAAAUCCAGAACGUUACAACAGACAC